CCUACGGGAGGCUGCAGUGGGGAAUAUUGCACAAUGGGGGCAACCCUGAUCCAGCGACGCCGCGUGAGUGAAGACGUCUUUCGGUACGUAAAGCUCCAUCUGCAGGGAAGAAAAUGACGGUACCUGAAUACGAAGCCCCGGCUAACUACGUGCAAGCAUCCGCGGUCAUACGUAGGGGGCCAGCGGUAUCCGGAUUUACUGGGUGUAAAGGGAGCGUAGACGGCAGCGAAAGUCCGGAGUGAAUUCCCAUGGCUUAACCAUGGAACUGCUUGUGAAACGGUGCAGCUAGAGUGCAGGUGAGGUAAGCGGAAUGUGUGGUGUAGCGGUGAAAUGCGUAGAUAUUAGGAAGAACACCAGUUGCGAAGGCGGCUUACGGGACUGUAACUGACGUUGAGGCUCGAAAGCGUGGGGAGCAAACAGGAUUAGAUACCCUUGUAGUC
rnacentral:rRNA from 1 species